UCGCACUAUCUUCCUCGGGAUCCCAUCCCGAUCCACUCAACCAACCCUUGCCAUCCACCUCUCACAGCCUCGCUACCACAACUGCUCUCCAUCGCAUUGCAACCUCCACCAACCGCCACAAAGCCAAUGCCCCUAGGUGCCUGAUUCGAUUUGGAUCGAGGCAAGCCUCCCACAUUGAGCUCUCCUGCAACCUCCCGUGCUAGAGGAGAUGCCCCUGCUCCAUUCAGGAUCGUUCUCGGGAGCCGCCUCCACCCUGGACCUCCCGUGCGCCCCCUUAGAUCGCACCUCGUCGGAGCUAUGAGCACCGCCGCAACAACAACUCCAGGUCGGUGAACCUCGCCGCCAAGCACCAGCAGAACGCCAUGGAGCAACAGCAGCAUAGUCGGCCUUCGAGUUUGCUGCCGACGCCUCAUCUCCGGCCGGAUCCAGCCAUCCCCGACCUCUCCUCAUUCAACCACGGCCUCGCCUUCGCGCCUCUGGCAACUGGCCUCGUCGUCACCGGCAACCCCAGGCAGGCCCCAUCGCGCCCAUGCCAUCUCCCUCCCUGUUUUCCUCUCUGAAUCCUCCCUCUGUCUUUUCUUUCUUCAGGAAACAGCAUAGGCCACUGCCCUCCAUGGAGUACGGACGUCGGCCCUCGUCUCCACUCAGAUCCGGCACCGCUGCUUUUCCCCAUGCCUCCGCCUGUGCUUGCCUCCUACCGCGCUGCCCUGCUUUGCCGCGCCGCCAAACGAAGCCUCCUCUGUUCGCCCGCGCGCCUGCUCAUUGACCAGGUCGAGCGAGAGGUGCUCGCUCGCCUCGAUCGCCAGGCAGUCGCGCUCAGCCCACUCCGCUUUUGGCCCAGUUGGCCCAUGUUGCAGGUACAGGUAAAGCGAUGGUCUGACGCGAGUACGAUGCUUGCUUGUUUGGAGUUCUCCUUCGAUCAAGGGUUAGGUUCCAGGUCGGGGAGCCUGGGAUUAGCAGGGUGGACGUUGUUUUUCUUUUUUCAUUUGUUUUCAUCCGUAGUCGGAUCCUGCUCUUUUGUAUGAUGAUUGAUAUGUAUUCAUGUUGUAGCUUGUGGCGAUGUAAGCCUUUAUUUUGUAUUCUCAUCUAUUCAGUACAUGGUAUGUUGUAAUGAU